rnacentral:rRNA from 1 species
UACGUAGGGGGCUAGCGUUGCUCGGAAUCACUGGGCGUAAAGCGCACGUAGGCGGCUUGCUAAGUCAGGGGUGAAAUCCUGGAGCUCAACUCCAGAACUGCCUUUGAUACUGGCGAUCUCGAGUCCGGGAGAGGUGAGUGGAACUGCGAGUGUAGAGGUGAAAUUCGUAGAUAUUCGCAAGAACACCCGUGGCGAAAGCGGCUCUCUGGAACGGUACUGACGCUGAGACGCGAAAGCGUGGGGAGCGAACAGG